rnacentral:rRNA from 1 species
CCUACGGGGGGCAGCAGUGGGGAAUAUUGGGCAAUGGGCGCAAGCCUGACCCAGCAACGCCGCGUGAAGGAAGAAGGCUUUCGGGUUGUAAACUUCUUUUAUGAGGGACGAAGGAAGUGACGGUACCUCAUGAAUAAGCCACGGCUAACUACGUGCCAGCAGCCGCGGUAAUACGUAGGUGGCGAGCGUUAUCCGGAUUUACUGGGUGUAAAGGGCGUGUAGGCGGGCUUGCAAGUCAGAUGUGAAAACUAUGGGCUCAACCCAUAGCCUGCAUUUGAAACUGUAGGUCUUGAGUGAUGGAGAGGCAGGCGGAAUUCCGUGUGUAGCGGUGAAAUGCGUAGAUAUACGGAGGAACACCAGUGGCGAAGGCGGCCUGCUGGACAUUAACUGACGCUGAGGCGCGAAAGCGUGGGGAGCAAACAGGAUUAGAUACCCGAG